rnacentral:lncRNA from 12 species
CGGAGCCACCUUUACNCUUUCGUGAGCGCUGCCUUCCUCCUGGGGGAGGUCGGUGGCGUUUGGGCGCGAGUGAGGGGCUAGUUCGAAUGCAACAAAUUUUAGACGGGAUGUCUGGCAGUGGAGACAUGGAAUGGCACUUCCUGUACCUGUGCAGUUACAGAGCCAGGGACUAUCUGGUCUAACAGCUUCCAAGAGAAUCUAGGCUGUCUACCUACAGAUGAAAGGCAGAAGGGGUCCCAGCUUGUGUCAUGCAUUCUUAUAGGCUGCUCUGAUGUACACAGAGACUCGCCUGUACAGAUGUGCUACUCCUAGAAAAAGCUUUCUCCAUAGUACACAUGCUGCAUGAGCUCAUGGUAGUCCUGCCCCUUCCUGGAAGCCCUGAAUAUUCUCUAUAAGAAUGAGUGGCUAUGUACUGAGCUGAAAGCAUGUACUAUGUCUGCUGUUGAAAAGGCUUUGAGGUUGGUGCCUCAAAAUAAACAGCACUCCUUACCACUUUGAUUACUGGGGGCUCGUUUUUCCACUUUGGAAUUUU